UUAAGCGACUAAGCGUACACGGUGGAUGCCCUGGCAGUCAGAGGCGAUGAAGGACGUGCUAAUCUGCGAUAAGCGUCGGUGAGGUGAUAUGAACCGUUAUAACCGGCGAUUUCCGAAUGGGGAAACCCAGUGUGUUUCGACACACUAUCAUUAACUGAAUCCAUAGGUUAAUGAGGCGAACCGGGGGAACUGAAACAUCUAAGUACCCCGAGGAAAAGAAAUCAACCGAGAUUCCCCCAGUAGCGGCGAGCGAACGGGGAGGAGCCCAGAGCCUGAAUCAGUGUGUGUGUUAGUGGAAGCGUCUGGAAAGGCGUGCGAUACAGGGUGACAGCCCCGUACACAAAAAUGCACAUAUUGUGAGCUCGAUGAGUAGGGCGGGACACGUGGUAUCCUGUCUGAAUAUGGGGGGACCAUCCUCCAAGGCUAAAUACUCCUGACUGACCGAUAGUGAACCAGUACCGUGAGGGAAAGGCGAAAAGAACCCCGGCGAGGGGAGUGAAAAAGAACCUGAAACCGUGUACGUACAAGCAGUGGGAGCCUCUUAAUGGGGUGACUGCGUACCUUUUGUAUAAUGGGUCAGCGACUUAUAUUCUGUAGCAAGGUUAACCGAAUAGGGGAGCCGAAGGGAAACCGAGUCUUAACUGGGCGUUAAGUUGCAGGGUAUAGACCCGAAACCCGGUGAUCUAGCCAUGGGCAGGUUGAAGGUUGGGUAACACUAACUGGAGGACCGAACCGACUAAUGUUGAAAAAUUAGCGGAUGACUUGUGGCUGGGGGUGAAAGGCCAAUCAAACCGGGAGAUAGCUGGUUCUCCCCGAAAGCUAUUUAGGUAGCGCCUCGUGAAUUCAUCUCCGGGGGUAGAGCACUGUUUCGGCAAGGGGGUCAUCCCGACUUACCAACCCGAUGCAAACUGCGAAUACCGGAGAAUGUUAUCACGGGAGACACACGGCGGGUGCUAACGUCCGUCGUGAAGAGGGAAACAACCCAGACCGCCAGCUAAGGUCCCAAAGUCAUGGUUAAGUGGGAAACGAUGUGGGAAGGCCCAGACAGCCAGGAUGUUGGCUUAGAAGCAGCCAUCAUUUAAAGAAAGCGUAAUAGCUCACUGGUCGAGUCGGCCUGCGCGGAAGAUGUAACGGGGCUAAACCAUGCACCGAAGCUGCGGCAGCGACACUAUGUGUUGUUGGGUAGGGGAGCGUUCUGUAAGCCUGUGAAGGUGGCCUGUGAGGGUUGCUGGAGGUAUCAGAAGUGCGAAUGCUGACAUAAGUAACGAUAAAGCGGGUGAAAAGCCCGCUCGCCGGAAGACCAAGGGUUCCUGUCCAACGUUAAUCGGGGCAGGGUGAGUCGACCCCUAAGGCGAGGCCGAAAGGCGUAGUCGAUGGGAAACAGGUUAAUAUUCCUGUACUUGGUGUUACUGCGAAGGGGGGACGGAGAAGGCUAUGUUGGCCGGGCGACGGUUGUCCCGGUUUAAGCGUGUAGGCUGGUUUUCCAGGAAAAUCCGGAAAACCAAGGCUGAGGCGUGAUGACGAGGCACUACGGUGCUGAAGCGACAAAUGCCCUGCUUCCAGGAAAAGCCUCUAAGCAUCAGGUAACAUCAAAUCGUACCCCAAACCGACACAGGUGGUCAGGUAGAGAAUACCAAGGCGCUUGAGAGAACUCGGGUGAAGGAACUAGGCAAAAUGGUGCCGUAACUUCGGGAGAAGGCACGCUGAUAUGUAGGUGAAGCGACUUGCUCGUGGAGCUGAAAUCAGUCGAAGAUACCAGCUGGCUGCAACUGUUUAUUAAAAACACAGCACUGUGCAAACACGAAAGUGGACGUAUACGGUGUGACGCCUGCCCGGUGCCGGAAGGUUAAUUGAUGGGGUUAGCGGUAACGCGAAGCUCUUGAUCGAAGCCCCGGUAAACGGCGGCCGUAACUAUAACGGUCCUAAGGUAGCGAAAUUCCUUGUCGGGUAAGUUCCGACCUGCACGAAUGGCGUAAUGAUGGCCAGGCUGUCUCCACCCGAGACUCAGUGAAAUUGAACUCGCUGUGAAGAUGCAGUGUACCCGCGGCAAGACGGAAAGACCCCGUGAACCUUUACUAUAGCUUGACACUGAACAUUGAGCCUUGAUGUGUAGGAUAGGUGGGAGGCUUUGAAGUGUGGACGCCAGUCUGCAUGGAGCCGACCUUGAAAUACCACCCUUUAAUGUUUGAUGUUCUAACGUUGGCCCGUAAUCCGGGUUGCGGACAGUGUCUGGUGGGUAGUUUGACUGGGGCGGUCUCCUCCUAAAGAGUAACGGAGGAGCACGAAGGUUGGCUAAUCCUGGUCGGACAUCAGGAGGUUAGUGCAAUGGCAUAAGCCAGCUUGACUGCGAGCGUGACGGCGCGAGCAGGUGCGAAAGUAGGUCAUAGUGAUCCGGUGGUUCUGAAUGGAAGGGCCAUCGCUCAACGGAUAAAAGGUACUCCGGGGAUAACAGGCUGAUACCGCCCAAGAGUUCAUAUCGACGGCGGUGUUUGGCACCUCGAUGUCGGCUCAUCACAUCCUGGGGCUGAAGUAGGUCCCAAGGGUAUGGCUGUUCGCCAUUUAAAGUGGUACGCGAGCUGGGUUUAGAACGUCGUGAGACAGUUCGGUCCCUAUCUGCCGUGGGCGCUGGAGAACUGAGGGGGGCUGCUCCUAGUACGAGAGGACCGGAGUGGACGCAUCACUGGUGUUCGGGUUGUCAUGCCAAUGGCACUGCCCGGUAGCUAAAUGCGGAAGAGAUAAGUGCUGAAAGCAUCUAAGCACGAAACUUGCCCCGAGAUGAGUUCUCCCUGACUCCUUGAGGGUCCUGAAGGAACGUUGAAGACGACGACGUUGAUAGGCCGGGUGUGUAAGCGCAGCGAUGCGUUGAGCUAACCGGUACUAAUGAACCGUGAGGCUUAACCUU
rnacentral:rRNA from 1 species